rnacentral:rRNA from 1 species
CCUACGGGUGGCAGCAGUGAGGAAUAUUGGUCAAUGGGCGAGAGCCUGAACCAGCCAAGUCGCGUGAGGGAGUACUGCCCUAUGGGUUGUAAACCUCUUUUGUCGGGGAGCAAAAGCCGGACGUGUCCGGCUGUGAGAGUACCCGAAGAAAAAGCAUCGGCUAACUCCGUGCCAGCAGCCGCGGUAAUACGGAGGAUGCGAGCGUUAUCCGGGUGUAUUGGGUUUAAAGGGUGCGCAGGCGGAUUUUUAAGUCAGCGGUAAAAUCGUGGGGCUCAACCCCAUCCAGCCGUUGAAACUGGGGAUCUAGAGUGUGCGAGAGGUAUGCGGAAUGCGUGGUGUAGCGGUGAAAUGCAUAGAUAUCACGCAGAACCCCGAUUGCGAAGGCAGCAUACCGGUGCACAACUGACGCUCAGGCACGAAAGCGUGGGUAUCGAACAGGAUUAGAUACCCGUGUAGUC